AGAGUUUGAUCCUGGCUCAGAAUCAACGCUGGCGGCGCGCUUAACACAUGCAAGUCGCACGAGAAAGGGGCAACCUGAGUAAAGUGGCGUACGGGUGAGUAACACGUGGAUCAUGCACCUUUUAGUGGGGAAUAACUUUGGGAAACCGAAGAUAAUACCGCAUAAGCCCGAGAGGGGAAAGCAGCAAUGCGCUGAAAGAG
rnacentral:rRNA from 1 species